rnacentral:rRNA from 1 species
GAUGAACGCUGGCGGCGUGCUUAACACAUGCAAGUCGAACGAAGCACUUUAUUUGAUUUCCUUCGGGACUGAUUAUUUUGUGACUGAGUGGCGGACGGGUGAGUAACGCGUGGGUAACCUGCCUUGUACAGGGGGAUAACAGUUGGAAACGGCUGCUAAUACCGCAUAAGCGCACAGCAUCGCAUGAUGCAGUGUGAAAAACUCCGGUGGUAUAAGAUGGACCCGCGUUGGAUUAGCUAGUUGGUGAGGUAACGGCCCACCAAGGCGACGAUCCAUAGCCGACCUGAGAGGGUGACCGGCCACAUUGGGACUGAGACACGGCCCAAACUCCUACGGGAGGCAGCAGUGGGGAAUAUUGCACAAUGGGCGAAAGCCUGAUGCAGCGACGCCGCGUGAGCGAAGAAGUAUUUCGGUAUGUAAAGCUCUAUAAGCAGGGAAGAUAAUGACGGUACCUGACGAAGAAGCACCGGCUAAAUACGUG